AUUUCCCCAUCACCCAUGUUGACGCUUUACUGCAAGUCACAAAGGCAAUGUUUAAAUCUAUCACACCAUGCAUUUGGACAGAAGGCAGGGAAACACCCUGGACGGUGCUUCAUAACCUUUUUAAAAUCUGGAUAAGGUGACACCAGUUAUGAUGAUGGAUUGGAGAACACCAUCUGAUAUCGUUCUCAAAACAAGCUCUGUGACCUAAACAGGAGGACUGCUCCUGCGCGGUGUCCAGAGAUUUCAGUAUAAAAGAAGCACUUCCAGGCUCAGCAGAAGUGUUGGACUGACAGGCUGCCA